GUGUGUGUAGGGGGGGGGGUGUGUAGGGGUGUGUGUGUGUGUGUGUGUAGGGGUGAUGAUCACAUGAUGAUCAUGGUAACUGAUAUUAAACUGACACCUUACACACAUGAUGAUCAUGGUAACUGAUAUUAAACUGACACCUUACACACAUGAUGAUCAUGGUAACUGAUAUUAAACUGACACCUUACACACAUGAUGAUCAUGGUAACUGAUAUUAAACUGACACCUUACACACAUGAUGAUCAUGGUAACUGAUAUUAAACUGACACCUUACACACAUGAUGAUCAUGGUAACUGAUAUUAAACUGACACCUUACACACAUGAUGAUCAUGGUAACCAUAUUUCACUGGAGCUGAACUCCUGGUGUGUCAGGAGGUAUUUCACUGGAGCUGAACUCCUGGUGUGUCAGGAGGUAUUUCACUGGAGCUGAACUCCUGGUGUGUCAGGAGGUAUUUCACUGGAGCUGAACUCCUGGUGUGUCAGGAGGUAUUUCACUGGAGCUGAACUCCUGGUGUGUCAGGAGGUAUUUCACUGGAGCUGAACUCCUGGUGUGUCAGGAGGUAUUUCCAUACAAACUGUAAGUGGGGCCCCAUUCCCUUAUGGUCAACUACUCUAGACCAGGGCCCCAGUGCACUUCAAAGAGGAUGGGGAGCUAUUUAGGACGUAGACAGAGUGUGAGAUGUGCAGUGAUUGGUUUAAAGAUAAUCUAAUCAUAUCUAGUGGUGUGAGAUGUGCAGUGAUUGGUUUAAAGCUAAUCAGAUGUAGUGGUGUGAGAUGUGCAGUGAUUGGUUUAAAGAUAAUCAGAUGUAGUGGUGUGAGAUGUGCAGUGAUUGGUUUAAAGAUAAUCAGAUGUAGUGGUGUGAGAUGUGCAGUGAUUGGUUUAAAGCUAAUCAGAUGUAGUGGUGUGAGAUGUGCAGUGAUUGGUUUAAAGCUAAUCAGAUGUAGUGGUGUGAGAUGUGCAGUGAUUGGUUUAAAGCUAAUCAGAUGUAGUGGUGUGAGAUGUGCAGUGAUUGGUUUAAAGAUAAUCCAAUCAGUUCUAGUGGUGUGUUUUGUGUGACUCAUGUCUAAAUGAAUCAAUUGUCUCCAAUGCUGCCUGUUUGAAGGUCAAAUCGGGAGAAACUGGGGAACGAUAUGACUGUAAUCCCUCUGAGCAUUUGGCAACAGACAAUAAAUGUCCUGCUGUUUAAUGCAGUCACGAUCGACAGUGUUGUUCAUAGUUUGAGUUGAAUCAGUAUGGCCAAUGUAUGAACAGCUCUUGUUUAUUAUAAAAGGUAUUUCUGUUUGUUCACCUGAUGUUUCCCUGUCAGUCUUUGACAGUGUUUGUCUGGAGAAAAUGUGCACUACUCUUGAAAGUGCAAAAGGUUUACCCUAAUUGGCUGUCUGCAGACACGGCUCUCUUCUAUCUCAAUAUAACAAACACACAGAGACAUGCAAAAGGUCAUCAGAUGAGAGGUUCGGGUGAAUCUGCUCCUCAAAGAGAAAUGCCACUGACCCGACUUUGGGGAUAUGAGGCAGGAGAGGAGUCCAGGAGGCAGGAGCAGCCCUGUUCCCUUAAAUUUUGACCUUUAAAAAAAAAAGAUUUUGUAACUCGAUGUCAGUUGGAGUAGAAGUUGUUAAAUUCAAACCCAAAUGGAACAAAAAAGAAUAAUGUUUGACUUCUGUUGAAUUUCCUCAGUGAAGCAUGUCUUUUAAAAAACAGGGUUCUGUGUUGUGGACAUGUCCUUAUGGUUCAAAUCAGAAAUGACACCUUUUAGUUUUUGUGUGAAGAAAAAUAAAGCUGAAAUUCUUCUGUU